CCGUUGGUGAACCAGCGGAGGGAUCAUUAAAGAGUUUACUACAACUCCCAAACCCAUGUGAACAUACCUUCUGUUGCCUCGGCAGGUCGUGUAAGACCGGUGCAAUAAGCCCACAAAGCGGGCUGCCCGGGCCCUCUCACAUAUAGCCUGCCGGUGGCCUACAAAAACUCUGUCUGAACUUGACUUCUGAAAUCAUACUUAAUAAGUUAAAACUUUCAACAAUGGAUCUCUUGGUUCCGGCAUCGAUGAAGAACGCAGCGAAAUGCGAUAAGUAAUGUGAAUUGCAGAAUUCAGUGAAUCAUCGAGUCUUUGAACGCACAUUGCGCCCAUUAGCAUUCUAGUGGGCAUGCCUGUUCGAGCGUCAUUUCAACCCUUAAGCCCCAGUUGCUUAGUGUUGGGAGCCUACCGCGAGGUAGCUCCUCAAAAUCAGUGGCGGAGCCAGUUUCAUGCUCUAGACGUAGUAGAAUCCUCUCGUCUGCAGCUGGGCUGGUCCCCUGCCAUAAAAUCCCCUAUUUAUCAAGGUUGACCUCGAAUCAGGUAGGAAUACCCGCUGAACUUAAGCAUAUCAAUAAGCGGAGGA
rnacentral:rRNA from 1 species